GGGUGAGUAACGCGUGGAGAACCUGCCGUAUACUGGGGGAUAACACUUAGAAAUAGGUGCUAAUACCGCAUAAGCGCACAGCUUCGCAUGAAGCAGUGUGAAAAACUCCGGUGGUAUACGAUGGAUCCGCGUCUGAUUAGCUAGUUGGCGGGGUAAAGGCCCACCAAGGCGACGAUCAGUAGCCGGCCUGAGAGGGUGAACGGCCACAUUGGGACUGAGACACGGCCCAAACUCCUACGGGAGGCAGCAGUGGGGAAUAUUGCACAAUGGGGGAAACCCUGAUGCAGCGACGCCGCGUGAGUGAAGAAGUAUUUCGGUACGUAAAGCUCUAUCAGCAGGGAAGAAAAUGACGGUACCUGACUAAGAAGCCCCGGCUAACUACGUGCCAGCAGCCGCGGUAAUACGUAGGGGGCAAGCGUUAUCCGGAUUUACUGGGUGUAAAGGGAGCGUAGACGGCAGCGCAAGUCUGGAGUGAAAUCCCAUGGCUUAACCAUGGAACUGCUUUGGAAACUGUGCAGCUAGAGUGCAGGAGAGGUAAGCGGAAUUCCUAGUGUAGCGGUGAAAUGCGUAGAUAUUAGGAGGAACACCAGUGGCGAAGGCGGCUUACUGGACUGUAACUGACGUUGAGGCUCGAAAGCGUGGGGAGCAAACAGGAUUAGAUACCCUGGUAGUCCACGCUGUAA
rnacentral:rRNA from 1 species